rnacentral:rRNA from 1 species
UACGAAGGGGGCUAGCGUUGCUCGGAAUUACUGGGCGUAAAGCGUGCGCAGGCGGUUUUGUAAGCCAGAUGUGAAAUCCCCGGGCUCAACCUGGGAAUGGCAUUUGGGACUGCAAGGCUUGAGUGCGGCAGAGGAGACUGGAAUUCCUGGUGUAGCAGUGAAAUGCGUAGAUAUCAGGAGGAAUACCGAUGGCGAAGGCAGGUCUCUGGGCUGACACUGACGCUCAUGCACGAAAGCGUGGGGAGCAAACAGG